rnacentral:rRNA from 1 species
AGAGUUUGAUCCUGGCUCAGAACGAACGCUGAUGGCGUGCCUCAUACAUGCAAGUCGAGCGGGAGUAGCAAUACUUCAGCGGCGGACGGGUGAGUAACGCGUGAACAAUCUGCCUUAAAGUGGGGGAUAACCAUUCCAACGGAUGGCUAAUACCGCAUAGGGUAGCGAGAGGGCAUCCUUUUGCUACGAAAGCAUUUAUGCGCUUUAGGAUGAGUUCGCGUCCCAUUAGCUAGUUGGCGGGGUAACGGCCCACCAAGGCGACGAUGGGUAGCCGGCCUGAGAGGGUGUCCGGCCACAUUGGGACUGAGAUACGGCCCAGACUCCUACGGGAGGCAGCAGUAGGGAAUUUUGCGCAAUGGGGGAAACCCUGACGCAGCAACGCCAUGUGUGGGAUGAAGCAUUUCGGUGUGUAAACCACUGUCGGCAGGGAAUAAAGCCCGCAUAUAUGCGGGGA